rnacentral:lncRNA from 1 species
AGGUGGGGAGAUGGGAGGGGGUUACAUGGCAAGGGCAGCUAAGGGAAUGGUAGAUGGUAGGCAACUGAGGGGAGGGGGCAGGCCGAGGGGGCGCAGAAGCAGUCCCCCAACAGGCUUGGGGGUCCAGGAGUUGCACACAGCAAUGAGUUCACCUGCUAUGAUCAGUGGUCACGUUUCCAAAGCCCGCGCCCGCGACGCGGUGCUGGGCAUGCCUGAAACUCCCCUCCACUGUAUUCGGCAACGACUUUGCCUGAAGUCUUGCUUGUACCGCUUUUCCAACCCUCCCUCGCCUCCCUUUCUCGCCUCCCUCCCUCGCCUUCCUCGCCUCCCUUUCUCGCCUCCCUCCCUCGCCUCCCUCCCUCGCCUCCCUCCCUCGCCUCCCUCCCGUUUCUCCCUCCCGUUCCUUCUUCCCGCGUUGGGAGUAGGUCGUGAGCCAGCCGGGGCCGGGCGGCGCGGUGGGUCUGGUGCAG